rnacentral:rRNA from 1 species
GAUGAACGCUGGCGGCGUGCCUAAUACAUGCAAGUCGAGCGAACAGAUGAGGCGCUUGCUCCUCUGACGUUAGCGGCGGACGGGUGAGUAACACGUGGAUAACCUACCUAUCAGUCUGGUAUAACUUCGGGACACCGGCGCUAAUCCCGUAUAAUAUAUUGAACCGCAUUGUUCAAUAGUGAAAGACGGUUUUGCUGUCACUUAUAGCUGGAUCCGCGCCGCAUUAGCUGGUUGGUAAGGUAACGGCUUACCAAGGCGACGAUGCGUAGCCGAGCUGAGAGGGUGAUCGGCCACACUGGAACUGAGACACGGUCCAGACUCCUACGGGAGGCAGCAGUAGGGAAUCGUCCGCAAUGGGCGAAAGCCUGACGGAGCAACGCCGCGUGAGUGAUGAAGGUCUUCGGAUCGUAAAACUCUGUUAUUAGGUAAGAACAAAUGUGUAAGUAACUAUGCACGUCUUGACGGUACCGAAUAAGAAAGCCACGGCUAACUACGUG